CCUGGAAAAGACCAUGGAAACAUUCUCUAUAAAUGUCAUGCUCUGUGUGUCCUGCAAGAACCUUUACUACAUGGAGUUACCAGCGCCCAAGAAGCCCCAGGGAUUCCUGGACAGAACUGAAGGAAGACAAUUAAGGACAGAGAAGGGCAAAGGGAGCCGUGAUGCAGAGGGCACAGAAGAGCAGUAUUUGAUUCAGCCCAAAGAGCAUCAAUGCAGCAUGGCCUGGUUGCCCUGAGAAGAGAAGGCUCAACGAGGAGCCAGAGUUAAAAUCUGGAAACAAAGAACCUCCAGGCAUCAGAGCUAUUGCUGUGCCCCAAGCCUUUUGGGAUUAGCAGUCUUUGGAACCUUGAGUGAGAGCAGCAGAGGCAGAGGCAGAGAGAACUUCUCUCCUUAUUUUUAACAAAAGGCAUCUAGAAGAAACCCCACCUCUCUCUCCAUCACAGGUUCCACCCAGAUUGUAAAAAGAAGAGCUCUCUGACUGAGCAUUGUAACCCUUCCUCCAACCAUUUCCUUGGAGCUGAAGAAUGGCUCUUUGUCAUCCUUGCUGACAUAACUGGCUCAAAGGCUCUAGCCACCUUGUCACUGGAAAACAUCCUGUGCCCAGACCACCAGGGACCACACAGUUUGUAAACCCACAUGUCCAGAACAAGUCAUAUACAAUGUUAAAUUAUCUCUUUGAUAAAGUUAUCUUUCAAAAGAAUUUGAUGUGAUCCCUCCUCCCCUCGAGAAAAAAAGCUUGGAAUUUUCUGAAAUAUGAUACCCUCCAGAAAUGAGUCAUUAUUUAUUUUCCUGUUUAAAAAAAAAAAGUUUUGAUGUUGGGAUCAAAGCACCAGA
rnacentral:lncRNA from 1 species